UCUAAACACCUGAAAAAUCUAUUUAAGCAACCCGCAACGCUCUCUUCUUCGUAGUUUUUUGCUUCGAUACGAGGAUAUGUCGCGUCGCGCAUGAAUUAAUUAUUAAUCAAAGGAGAGUUAAUAGUGCUUGUGCAGUGCAAGUCUUCCAGAGAUUUUCACUUUGGAUUAUUAAUAGCGAAGGUCGUCAUUUUUUAUAGCCAGAGGGAACUGAUAGCGAAAGAUAUCAACAAAGUGGUCCGGGAAUGUGUUUUCCGAGGCGAAACUGGACCUGGAAACCGUCGCCGAGGACUAGCGAUCUUUCCUAAGAGAAU
rnacentral:sRNA from 1 species